UUAUAAUUAUAAUUUUUUACCGUAACAACAUUUCAAUAUCAAAUAGAGCCUCACCUUGGUAAAUAGCAAUUGAUUGCGUUUGUUCUUUUAAAGUCUAAUGUCAAAUAAAAACUAUGAAAGGAGUGUGGACCAACCAAAACAUUUGAUUUUAGUUAAAAGCGUGUGGCUCGAGACUGAGAGACACCCAAAAUCCAACUCAAUCCAUACCGACCUGGUCCGACCCAAAGACUUCAACCCUGACCCGUAACAUGACAAAUAUUCAAAUGGAUAGUCAUUUCGUUAUCGCAUCUUGAUUCUCUUCUUAUCGAACUUUUACCUAAGAAUAAAUACUAAGACAUCCCAAAAUUUAAUUUAUCAUACUGAUGGUGAAAUACUAUAAUUAAUUAAUUCAUUUAGAAUUUUGUGAAAAGAGUAUCAAUCAUUCGAUGAAUCAUCUAUCACAUCAUUCGAGAUUAAAUUAAUUUUAAAUAUUUAUCAUUACUCUUUAAUUUACAAUAACAACUACGUUUAUAAUCAUAUAUGAGCAAAUAAUUUGUGCUCUAUCCUUCAAAUUUAAGUCAAUCAAAGUAUGCCAACGAAUUAGAUAGUUCAAUUUUUGGGAUCAUUAUCCUCAUCCCACUCGUGUAAAAUGAAUUAUACCCAACUGAAGAUAAGUUCAUCGACUUAUCUUGACUGACACACACAUUUAAAAGGUGAUGCUAGAGUCAUAAGUUCAAUGUAAAAUAACGGCAUUGAUUGAUUGAAAAAAAAAAAACUAAAAAUGAAAUGCGGUGGUGAAAGCUAUUUUCAUCCAAUCAAUAAUAUUAUUAUACCACAUCAGUUAAUACGAAAUAAUGCGUAUAAAGAAUUCAUAACUCUUAACAUUUGUACUGUGAAACAAGACAUAUGGUGUGUAAGGCUUGUUGAAGAGUAGUAGCGUGCAAUUAAUAACCAAGUCAAUGAUGAAGGUCACCGUCGACUCAUAUUUUGGAUGCGUUAUAGGCAGCGGCACAUCCGCCUUUGAUUCGGGCUCUCGAUUUCCGGAAAUGGUCUUUAAAUGGGGUAGCCAUAUGUUAGUUUAAACACGAUUGAAUUUCCUUUCCACUGUUAGUGUAUUAGUAUGACAAAAUCUGAAGCAAGUUUUAUUUAUCUCUCAAUAGAUUCUACUCAGUUAAUUGGACUUGAUUUUAUGUUUGUAUAUCUUUUCCUUUUCUUUUUCUUUUUUUUUUUUCCAAACAGAAUUUGUUUCCAAAGACUUGAUCUCGAGUGGUGUUUAAGUUUUUUUUUUUUGGUCUAAUUGCCCGAGUUUGAGUUAUGGAGGAAAUAGAGGCUAAAGAAAUUGAUUUAAAUUUUAUCCAACCCUACUUAAAAAAAAAAGAAAAAGAGAGAGAGAUUAUUUCGAGCUCCACUCACAUGAGUUGGAAGAGUAUUGAGUUCCAAUAUUAGGCAUUAUUAAUUUUGGGAGCCAUACAUACCAAUGCCAACGGAUAUAUCUAUAUAAAUACUCUUUACAUCUGUUUUGAAAACAGAUUAUGAUUUCAUCAUGAUACAUACAAUCAUAAUUCUUUAAAGACAAAUAAUAGAAGAGAUAUUUUUUAUCUAACGUUAAAAUUUGGAAGUCAACGAAGAAUUUUGUUCAAAAAAAAUUAAAUUCGAUAAUUAUUUUUAUAUCAAAAUCUAUUUAACUAAAAAACUUCUUGUAUCUUUCAAUAUCGAGCAUUAUUCAUUUACCAAGGCACUCUAAGGGGUUCGGAACCUUAAAAAAACUUCUUUUUUAAGCGUUCAUACAUUCAGCAACAUCAACUCUUAAAGGAACAUAAAGUAAUUGAAAAUUUAUUUAUUUUUAGAUUAUAUAAGCUACAUAUCAAUACAAAAAAUAAAAUAAGAACAAUAAUAAUUUAAAAUAUGAUGAUCAAAUGAUGGCAAUGGAUUUCGUAGAGAAGAAUUUUAUUUGUGGAGAAGAAAGUAAUAAUUUUUUUAAUUGAGAUUUUUUUAUUCAAUGGUUUUGAAGUUUUAUUAGAGUUUAAAGGAAUAUCAAGAGUCAGUUUAGUGUUUAAAAGAUUUUUUUUUUAAAGAAAGUGAAGCGUUUAAUUUUUUUUUUCUUGGAAAGGUUAACAAAAUAAAGAAAUAAUGGUUAAAAUCAUUGAUUAUACUAUAAAGAUUAUCAAAUAUAGAAUUUUUAUGAAAAAAAAAAUCUUAUUUGAAGGUGAAGAUUAUCAAAUAAAUAAUCUAUAUUAAAAAUCUUAAUUUUUGGAUAAUUAUGAAUGGAUGUAAUAAUAAGGAGAUGAAUGAAAAUUAACAUUUCCUACAUAAGUAACUUAAAUAAAAAGUGAAAUCUUAGAAUAAUUAUUAUAAGUUAGUUUAUUAAUAAAUAAAUGCCCAAAAACUGGGGCCUUCUUAAAAUUUGGAACCCUAGACAUUUGCCUAGUGCUAAAAUCACCUGUGACUCUAUUACACAAAAAUAGAGUAAUAAGCCAUUAAAUGUUGACUAUCAAGCCUCAAUUAUAGUCUAUUAAAUUCUUAAUCUAGACCUAUUGAUAUAUCCUUUUUGUUAAAUGUUUAUCAUAUGUACCUUUCAACUAAUUAUAUAAAAGGUAAGUAACACGUGUGGCAAUAAAAUGCAAUCAAUUGGAGAGUAUACAACUAGGGGUGGGCAUGGGUUGGUUUGGGUUGGAUUUUAAGUCAACCCAAACCAAACUAUAAAAAUUUGGAUCCAACCCAAACCAACCCAAAUAUUUUUAACCCAAACCAAACCAAAC
rnacentral:lncRNA from 1 species